GGCUUCGUAGCCCAGUUGGUAGGGCGCUUGCUGUGUUCAGGCAUAUUGCUUUUGUCACUGGUUCGAAUCCAGCCGAAGCCC